GAUGAACGCUGGCGGCGUGCCUAAUACAUGCAAGUCGAGCGAACGGACGAGAAGCUUGCUUCUCUGAUGUUAGCGUCGGACGGGUGAGUAACACGUGGAUAACCUACCUAUAAGACUGGGAUAACUUCGGGAAACCGGAGCUAAUACCGGAUGAUAUUUUGAACCGCAUGGUUCAAAAGUGAAAGACGGUCUUGCUGUCACUUAUAGAUGGAUCCGCGCUGCAUUAGCUAGUUGGUAAGGUAACGGCUUACCAAGGCAACGAUGCAUAGCCGACCUGAGAGGGUGAUCGGCCACACUGGAACUGAGACACGGUCCAGACUCCUACGGGAGGCAGCAGUAGGGAAUCUUCCGCAAUGGGCGAAAGCCUGACGGAGCAACGCCGCGUGAGUGAUGAAGGUCUUCGGAUCGUAAAACUCUGUUAUUAGGGAAGAACAUAUGUGUAAGUAACUGUGCACAUCUUGACGGUACCUAAUCAGAAAGCCACGGCUAACUACGUG
rnacentral:rRNA from 1 species